rnacentral:ncRNA from 1 species
CAAAGGCCUGGUCCUGACUUUACUAUCGGCUUUAACCCAAUUUAUACAUGCAAGUAUCCGCACCCCCGUGAGAAUGCCCUCAUAUCCCCGACCGGGGACGAGGAGCUGGCAUCAGGCACGCCCACCCAGCCCAAGACGCCUUGUUACGCCACACCCCCAAGGGAUUUCAGCAGUAAUUAACAUUAAGCCAUAAGUGAAAACUUGACUUAAUUAGGGUUAAGAGGGUCGGUAAAACUCGUGCCAGCCACCGCGGUUAUACGAGAGACCCAAGUUGAUAAAUACGGCGUAAAGAGUGGUUUGGGGUACCUACAAAUAAAGCCGAACACCUCCAAAGCCGUUACACGCACUCCGAAGGCACGAAACCCUAGCACGAAGGUCGCUUUACUAUCUCCCGACGCCACGAAAGCUAAGAAACAAACUGGGAUUAGAUACCCCACUAUGCUUAGCCCUAAACCCCAAUGUUUAAAUACAAACUACAUUCGCCAGGGUACUACAAGCACCAGCUUAAAACCCAAAGGACUUGACGGUGUCUCAGACCCACCUAGAGGAGCCUGUUCUAGAACCGAUAAUCCACGUUAAACCUCACCACCCCUUGCUAUUCCCGCCUAUAUACCGCCGUCGUAAGCUUACCCUGUGAAGGGCCCAAAGUAAGCAAAAUGGGUAAAUCCCAAAACGUCAGGUCGAGGUGUAGCUCACGAGGUGGAAAGAAAUGGGCUACAUUUUCUAUUACAGAACAUCACGGACGCAUCAUGAAACUGAUGAACAAAGGUGGAUUUAGUAGUAAGAGGUAAAUAGAGUGUACCUCUGAACCAGGCUCUGAGACGUGUACACACCGCCCGUCACUCUCCCCACCACCAACUAUUCAAGUAAAUAACUAAAUACAUGAUGAUAACGGGGAGGCAAGUCGUAACAUGGUAAGUGUACCGGAAGGUGCACUUGGAACAU